GACGAACCGUGCAAACGUUAUUCGGAAUCACUGGGCAUAAAGGGCGCGUAGGCGGCUCCAAAAGUCAGGGGUGAAAUCCGGCAGCUUAACUGUCGCAGUGCCUUUGAUACUGUGGAGCUAGAGGGAGGUAGGGGUCUGUGGAACUUCCGGUGGAGCGGUGAAAUGCGUUGAUAUCGGAAGGAACGCCGGUGGCGAAGGCGGCAUCCUGGACCAUUACUGACGCUGAGGCGCGAAAGCUAGGGGAGCAAACGGG
rnacentral:rRNA from 1 species